rnacentral:rRNA from 1 species
CGCCCCUUGGCAUUCCGAGGGGCACACCCGUUUGAGUGUCGU